CAUCCACGGAAGAAUUCAGAGAUGGAUUUGUGCCUUCGGGAACCGUGAGACAGGUGCUGCAUGGCUGUCGUCAGCUCGUGUUGUGAAAUGUUGGGUUAAGUCCCGCAACGAGCGCAACCCUUAUCCUUUGUUGCCAGCGGUCCGGCCGGGAACUCAAAGGAGACUGCCAGUGAUAAACUGGAGGAAGGUGGGGAUGACGUCAAGUCAUCAUGGCCCUUACGACCAGGGCUACACACGUGCUACAAUGGCGCAUACAAAGAGAAGCGACCUCGCGAGAGCAAGCGGACCUCAUAAAGUGCGUCGUAGUCCGGAUUGGAGUCUGCAACUCGACUCCAUGAAGUCGGAAUCGCUAGUAAUCGUGGAUCAGAAUGCCACGGUGAAUACGUUCCCGGGCCUUGUACACACCGCCCGUCACACCAUGGGAGUGGGUUGCAAAAGAAGUAGGUAGCUUAACCUUCGGGAGGGCGCUUACCACUUUGUGAUUCAUGACUGGGGUGAAGUCGUAACAAGGUAACCGUAGGGGAACCUGCGGUUGGAUCACCUCCUUACCUUAAAGAAGC
rnacentral:rRNA from 1 species